rnacentral:rRNA from 1 species
GAACAGGGAAAAGCCCAGCACCGAAGCCUGUGACCAUUUGGUUACUAGGCAAUGUGGUGUUCAGGUCGUUCCGCAGAGGCUCUGCUCCACCCUAAGUCCAUCAAUGAGUACGGUAGUAUGGACAUGGCCCAUAGAGGGUGAAAGGCCCGUGGGGGUGGAGAUUCGGUAGGCCAGAUCCUCUCUGGGUAGACCUUGGAGUCGGGUUGUUUGUGAAUGCAGCCCAAAGUGGGUGGUAAACUCCAUCCAAGGCUAAAUACUUGCACGAGUCCGAUAGCGAACAAGUACCGUGAGGGAAAGUUGAAAAGUACUUUGAAGAGAGAGUAAACAGUGCGUGAAACCGCUCAGAGGUAAACGGGUGGAGUUGAACUGCAAGCUCUGGGAAUUCAGCUGAUGAAGGUGGUUUGAGCUUGGUUAAAUUGGUGGACAUCGGGGUCUGUGUAGUAGCAGGUCCUCGCCCUCGGGUGGGGAUGCGCGAUGCACUUAUCAAGUGUUGUGCGCCCCGGUUGUUCCCGGCCAACUCGUCAGUGCACUUUCUCAGAGUGGUCACCACGACCGGCAUCUCGUCUGGCUGCUAUGGUUAAACCGGUUUUGCAUAGUCCUUGUGGCUUUGCUUGGUCGGGACGGCAGGUAGCUCGUUGACUUGCUUGUGGCUUGCUACAGGCUGGGUUUUCGAGUGUAAUCAGCUGACCGUAGUGGUUCUGUACAGUGUGUCGGAGACGGCGGCUUGAGGUGUGUGCAUGCGUCGCUGCUCUGCUGACUUGUCCGAGUUUGGUUGUUUUGUUGCCUGUUAAUUCAGGUCUGAUAAUGGCUCGGAUUCGUUCGGCGGGUGGUUGCGUGUGUGGCACUGUCCAAGGGCCAAUAGUCUGUGGUGUAGUGGU